rnacentral:sRNA from 1 species
CUUCUUCAAUUUGCUGCGGGCAAAUGUAGUGAAUAUGGCUGUCUAUACCGCCAGCGGUCAGAAUUUUGCCUUCGCCUGCAAUAAUUUCCGUACCUGGGCCAAUUAUAAUAUCUACACCGGGCUGAAUAUCAGGGUUGCCAGCCUUACCAAUACCCGCAAUACGCCCAUCACGCAGGGCAACAUCUGCUUUAACAAUGCCCCAGUGGUCUAUAAUAAGCGCGUUGGUAAUAACGGUGUCAGCAGCCCCUUCGGCACGUGUAACCUGAGACUGCGCCAUACCGUCUCGUAUG